rnacentral:rRNA from 1 species
AGUGAACGCUGGCGGUAGGCCUAACACAUGCAAGUCGAACGGCAGAACGGUACUUGCUUGUGGUUUCGGGUGGCGAGGGGCGGAUGAGGGCGAGAAAAAUCCGCAUUUGCUUUUUAGAGCGGGCUAAAAUAGGGGCUCUUACGCCAUAACCGCAUACGACCUACGGGUGGGAGCUUGGGAUCUUACGCCCUCAGGUGAUCGAAUGUCGCGAGGUCGGAUUAGCUAGUUGGCGGGGUAAAGGCCCACCAAGGCGACGAUCCGUAGCUGGUCUGAGAGGAUGAUCAGCCACACUGGAACUGAGACACGGUCCAGACUCCUACGGGAGGCAGCAGUGGGGAAUAUUGGACAAUGGGCGCAAGCCUGAUCCAGCCAUACCGCGUGUGUGAAGAAGGCCUUCGGGUUGUAAAGCCCUUUUGUUGGGAAAGAAAAGCAGUAGGUUAAUACCCCGCUGUUCUGACGGUACCCAAAGAAUAAGCACCGGCUAACUUCGUG